rnacentral:rRNA from 1 species
AAUGAACGUUGGCGGCGUGGAUUAGGCAUGCAAGUCGAGCGGAAAGGCCCGCAAGGGCACUCGAGCGGCGUAAGGGACAGUAAUGUGUAGGUAACGUACCCCUGGGUCUAGGAUAGCUGCGGGAAACUGCAAUUAAUACUAGAUAACGUCUCCGGACCAAAGGUGUGAUUCCACCUGGGGAGCGGCCUACAUCCUAUUAGCUAGUUGGCGAGGUAAUGGCUCACCAAGGCGAAGAUGGGUAGCAGGUGUGAGAGCACGACCUGCGUCACUGGGACUGAGACACUGCCCAGACACCUACGGGUGCUGCAGUCGAGAAUCUUCGGCAAUGGGCGAAAGCCUGACCGAGCGACGCCGCGUGUGGGAUGAAGGCCU